rnacentral:rRNA from 1 species
AUACGAAGGGGGCUAGCGUUGUUCGGAAUUACUGGGCGUAAAGCGCGCGUAGGCGGAUUGGUCAGUUAGGGGUGAAAUCCCAGGGCUUAACCCUGGAACUGCCUCUAAUACUGCCAGUCUUGAGUUCGGGAGAGGUGGGUGGAAUUCCUAGUGUAGAGGUGAAAUUCGUAGAUAUUAGGAAGAACACCAGUGGCGAAGGCGGCUCACUGGCCCGAUACUGACGCUGAGGCGCGAAAGCGUGGGGAGCAAACAGGAUUAGAUACCCUAGUAGUCC